CGGCCCUCCCGGAGUCCGUCUGCAAGCAGGAUUUCUAAAACAGAAUCCAGCGCUGGGAGGGGGAACGCCCGUGUUCACUGUUCACGGGGCCCCUGCUCUCCAGAUCAGCAGAUCAGCGGGACGAAGACCCUCCUCCGCGGCUUGAGGAGAAGCCCACCCCCAGCCUCCACCCGCCCUCUGCUUCCUCUGGGAGGAGGCCCAGCCCUUGGGCUGAGCUCUCCUUGUCUCCGAGCUCUCCUUGUCUCCACGACUGGCCGGCGAAGCAGGGCCGGAGGACCCCAGGGCUGGACGUGUGGCAGCAGACGGUGGCCGAGCAGCAGGCCGCGUGCAUGGACGACGCUGCUGCUGGCCUGUGGGGGGUGUCAGGGCCCCCCGGGAGGCCCUCAGCCCCCCAGGGCUCCCAGCUCCCAUGGGCAGGUGGCCCCAUCCCGGCCCUGUUCUCUUUCCUCUCCGUGGCCUCCCUUUGCUGGGCCAAGACCUUGACCUUGGCGGGGGGUGUCCCACCUGCCCCCUUAUCAGGCCUCUCUUCCCCUGAAAUCUCCCGUCCAACGGCAGAGCUCACUCUGAGCAAAAAUGUGGGUGUUGGUGUUCAAUCUUUCCUCAAGGCUUGUAGGCAGGUGGGCAAGAUUCCCACUUAGCCAGCCGCCCACCCUCCUCCACCCCGGGCUCAGAACCCAUCCAGCUCCUUCUGGGGAGCUGCCCGUGAUCCCGGAAGGGCAGGCGUGGGCAGGCCCGCGUCCUGACGCCAGCUCCCGCCCUGCGGGCCCUGCAGCCUGGGGUGCCGGCUCUGUGGGUCCUGACACUGCGCCGCUCGUGCAGGGCGGUGUCCGCGGCAGGGUCCCCCUCCUGUAGGGUCUCUGUUGCUGCAGGUGCCUGUCCAGGCUGCGAGCCUGGGGGACCCAGGGUGCUGGGUGGAGCCAGACACGUGGGAAGGGGGCCCCAUGUGGGCACCGGCUGGAAGCCAAGGGCAGGGCACCUGGGUCCCCUCCACCUCUGGGAAGACGCACCGUGGUUGGAGAUGCACUGAGAUGGCUGGAGGGGGUGACGUCAGCCAUUCGCAGGAGGAAAAGCCUCGCGCUUGCCAGAAGGUCUGUGGGGCAAGCAUGGAAAUGCUCACUUCUUCCAAAAGGUCAAGUGACCCACAGGCUCGACGGGAGGCACUGCUGUGGGUCAGGGGUCACCUGGCCGGAGGGGAGCAGGGAAGCCGCUCUCCUGUCCCUGCCCUGUGUCACUGGACCGCCUGGCUGGUUUGCACGGCCGGUACUCUGGCGGCCAGGCCUCCAGGGCCCUGGGCUGAGAGGAGAGGAGGAGGACCACUUGAGGCCAGGCGCUGUGUGGGGCGGGAGAUGCGGUUCCGUGGGAGCACGGGGCUCGGCCGCGGAGGGGGGCGGUGCUGCGAGGCGACUCUGCGGUGCGCGGGGCCUGGACCGGGGGCGGCUUGGAGCUGGGGGUGAGCGUGGACGUGGAGAGCCGGACCGAGACCCCAGAGCCCUCUGGCCGGAAAGGGCAGUUCUCACAAGCCCUGACUCUGAAACUUCCCAGCAGUUCCUUGUGGUUUUGGCCGCCUUUGCCUCAGCAAACCCGAGCAGCAGACGCCAGGAGGCGGAGGCCCCGCCCCCGCCCGGUCGGCCUGCUGGUCUCCCCCGCCCAGGGCUGUCCAGCUGCCGGCGUGCGGGCCUGUGUUUCCCAGAAUGAGGUCAGCAAGAGACGGUCCUGCUGUUUCCAAGCUUGGACUCACAGCCCUCGCCUGGUCUGUGGGUUCUUUUCUCUGCUUCAAGUGUUAGGAUGCUGCUAUAUUUAGGGAAGAAAUUGCUUCCUAAAGAUGGAUAAUGACAGGAAAUUAUACCUUGUUGAUUCUGCAUCUUUUUUUUUUUUUAAUUCUUAAGUGCAUCUUUCAUGAAGCAACAAAAAAUAAAAAGAUUUAUGAAAGC
ensembl:lncRNA